CACGUAGGCACCAAGCGUUGUCCGGAUUUAUUGGGCGUAAAGAGCUCGUAGGUGGUUUGUCGCGUUGUCCGUGAAAACUCACAGCUUAACUGUGGGCGUGCGGGCGAUACGGGCAGACUGGAGUACUGCAGGGGAGACUGGAAUUCCUGGUGUAGCGGUGGAAUGCGCAGAUAUCAGGAGGAACACCGGUGGCGAAGGCGGGUCUCUGGGCAGUAACUGACGCUGAGGAGCGAAAGCGUGGGGAGCGAACAGG
rnacentral:rRNA from 1 species